GCCCAAAGCCAUUUGGUUGAGGGCACGCCUGCCUGGGUGUCGUGAAUCAUUUGCCCCUUCUCACCCCUUUGCGUCGUCGCAAGGAGUGGACCGGGUGCGUAAUGUGGCCUCCCGUGGGAUCGAUGUGCACAACGUUGAGGUGCGGUUGGCCUAAAAUUGAGCACGGCAGUCGCUUGCAGCACGACUUCUGGUGGAUCAUCUCAGACACGUAUGAGAUUUGGUCGUGUCGUGUGCUAGGCUGCUCAUGGGCUUUGGGCUCGGAUGAUCUUUGGAUGCGAUCCCAGGUCAGGCGGGGCUACCCGCUGAGUUUAAGCAUAUCAAUAAGCGGAGGAAAAGAAACUAACAAGGAUUCCCUUAGUAACGGCGAGCGAACAGGGAAGAGCCC
rnacentral:rRNA from 1 species